rnacentral:lncRNA from 1 species
CUGUCUUCUCUAUCUGUUCCCACUCCAACCCUCUGCCACCCAAGUUAGUUUCACUGGCAGGUACUCAAGGCUCUGCCUCCAAAACAUCUGUCCUUUCUCUGCGGUUGCCCUUGUCUAGGGCCACUGUCUCUCACCUGAAAAACUGACUGCUUCUUUGCUUGUCUUACUAUUUUGGACUGAGCCAACAUCACUGGCUGACAUGCUUGUAUUUCUCCAAAAUGUGAAUCAAGGAAUACCAUUCCCAUGCUUAACACCAUUCAAAGGAUUCCCAUGGUACCAGGAUCAAACCCAAAUUCCUUCCUGGGGUCCCCGUGUCCAUUCCUGUCCACCACCUUGACAUCAUCCCAUGCCACUCCAUCUCUCUCAGGUCAUAUGCUCUGGGCACUGAGGUGUUCUGCUGCAGGAAUAACUGUACCUCUGCAGAUAAUCGGACAAACCAGGAAACCACAUGCAAUGGGCCAACAGGACAGUACCAAAGAAACUGGUACCAUGCUGACACUUUGUGAGCGCUCACAAAGGACCAGAUUCCCCUUGUCUACAUGCAUUAGUUCAUUCAGUCAUAAGAAAAUCCCAGCGCACAGGUACUCCAUUAUCUCUAUUUUGCAGGCAAAGGAAGUUGAAGCACAGAGAGAUUGGAUAGGUUGCUCAAUCUCACACAGCCAGUUCAGGGAAGACUCAGUAUUUAAGACGGAGUAUAGUAAACACCAUAUAAUGAUGUUACAGCCAGCUACUCUCUGCAUCUGCU